CAGCCGCCGCGGGAAUACGAAGGGGGCUAGCGUUGUUCGGAAUCACUGGGCGUAAAGGGUGCGUAGGCGGAUUCUUAAGUCAGGGGUGAAAUCCCAGAGCUCAACUCUGGAACUGCCUUUGAUACUGGGUAUCUUGAGUAUGGAAGAGGUGAGUGGAAUUCCGAGUGUAGAGGUGAAAUUCGUAGAUAUUCGGAGGAACACCAGUGGCGAAGGCGGCUCACUGGUCCAUUACUGACGCUGAGGUGCGAAAGCGUGGGGAGCAAACAGGAUUAGAUACCCCCGUAGUCCCUGUCUCUUAUAC
rnacentral:rRNA from 1 species